CCUCGGCGGGGAGGUCUGGGGGGUUGCGCUCCGGCGCUCCCCCCGGGCCCCCGCCGGCCGCGCCGAACUCUUCAUUUGCAAAGCGGACUGUACGAUCUGAUUAUAUCUUGAAAAACAAGUCAAAACUUUCAACAACGGAUCUCUUGGUUCUGGCAUCGAUGAAGAACGCAGCGAAAUGCGAUAAGUAAUGUGAAUUGCAGAAUUCAGUGAAUCAUCGAAUCUUUGAACGCACAUUGCGCCCGGCAGCAAUCUGCCGGGCAUGCCUGUCCGAGCGUCAUUUCUGCCCUCGAGCGCGGUUCGGCCCCUAGCGGGCCGGCCGCCGCCCGGUGUUGGGGCGCUGCGGGCCCUCGUGCCCGCAGGCCCUGAAAUGAAGUGGCGGUCCCGCCGCGGCGCCCCCUGCGUAGUAGUAAAGCACCUCGCAUCGGGUCCCGGCGGAGGCCAGCCGUCGAACCUCUCUUUUGAUGGUUUGACCUCGGAUCAGGUAGGGUUACCCGCUGAACUUAAGCAUAUCAAUAA
rnacentral:sRNA from 1 species